CAGAGGUCUCCCAGGACCAGAAGGACCUCCUGGCCCCAAGGGUGACACAGGAGAUAAAGGUGCCCGUGUGAGUACUGUCUUGAGGAUAGGAAGCACAGGGCACAUGGCACAGCCCUCCCCAGACUCAUGGUGCCUGUGCUGUUGCUCCAUGCUAUGUCCUUUCAUGUCUAGGGUCCCCCUGGCCUGAGCAUCCCUGGACCAGCUGGCCCCAAAGGCGAGCAGGGCGAUCGGGUGAGUCUGGGUGCACCCUGAGGGCACCAGUUCAUGGGCCUGCUCCCUCCCCUGUCAAGGGGUCACCAAAGUUCCCAGUGACACGUGCUCUUCCUCUCCAACAAACCAGGGUAUCGUUGGCCUCACAGGCAGGAGUGGCCCAAAGGGUGACCCGGGAGAGCCAGGGGAGAAGGGGGAGCCGGGCCGAGCAGGCACCCCUGGGCAGACCGGGAUGCGAGGCAAGGAGGUAGUGUGGGACAAGGGGCUAUGGGGCACUGUGGCCCUGAGGAGAGGGGGGGCUGGCAGGGAGCAGGGGGAUGCUGGUGACUUGUACUUUUCUCUCCUGGCCGGUGCCCGCUGAUUUGUGCCGCAGGGAGAGAGAGGAGAGAAAGGUGAUGAAGGCACCCCGGGUGAAGCGGGUCUGCCUGGCAAACCUGGAGACAGGGGUCCCCGGGUGAGUGCAGGGCUGCUGGGCACCGUGGGGCAGGAGAAAGACACAUGGCCUCGAGAUGGCUCCUGCUAAUGCACAUCUUCCCUUUGCCCUCCACCCAGGGCCUUCCUGGCUACCGUGGCCCCCCUGGGGAGAAAGGUGACUUGGGGGACCCAGGACCUGAGGGCAGGAAUGGCAGCCCUGGAGCACCAGGGAGCAAGGGUGACCGUGGGGACCCAGGGCCUCCUGGACCCCCAGGACGAGCUGUAAGUUCUGCCUCUCUCUUCUCCCUGCCCAUGGGCUGGUGUCCAGCCCCGUGUGCUCCAACAGCUCCUCUCUGCCCCAUAGGUCGAUGCUGGGCUUGGAGGAGUGGGAGAAAAGGGUGA
rnacentral:lncRNA from 1 species